rnacentral:rRNA from 3 species
GGUCUCGCGCCGCCGGUUCAUCGUUCGCGGUGUUAACUGGCGAGUCGCGAGACGUCCUGCCGGUAGACUUAGCCGGCAUCUUUCGGGGUGUCGGCGGUCUGACAAUCCCUCCCUGGUGCUCUUCAUUGAGUGUCGCGGUGGGCCGGCACGUUUACUUUGAACAAAUUAGAGUGCUUAAAGCAGGCUAAAACUUCGCCUGAAUACUGUGUGCAUGGAAUAAUGGAAUAGGACCUCGGUUCUAUUUUGUUGGUUUUCGGAACCCCGAGGUAAUGAUUAAUAGGAACGGAUGGGGGCAUUCGUAUUGCGACGUUAGAGGUGAAAUUCUUGGAUCGUCGCAAGACGGACAGAAGCGAAAGCAUUUGCCAAAAACGCUUUCAUUGAUCAAGAACGA